UACGUAGGGUGCAAGCGUUAUUCGGAAUUACUGGGCGUAAAGCGUGCGCAGGCGGUUUGGCAAGACAGAUGUGAAAUCCCCGGGCUUAACCUGGGAAUGGCAUUUGUGACUGUUCGGCUAGAGUGUGUCAGAGGGGGGUAGAAUUCCACGUGUAGCAGUGAAAUGCGUAGAGAUGUGGAGGAAUACCGAUGGCGAAGGCAGCCCCCUGGGAUAACACUGACGCUCAUGCACGAAAGCGUGGGGAGCAAACAGG
rnacentral:rRNA from 1 species